AUAAAUUCAAAUCACUUUUUCCGUUAUUGUCAUUUUAAAGGUUUUUGAAUAUUUAUAUAUUUAUUUAUUGAAUCUGUGUUAAUUAUUAUUAUAUUUAUUAAACCAAUUUUAAAAUGACUGUAUUUUAUGACAAAAUGAAUUUUUAUUUACACACCAACAUUACAUCAAUGAAAUAUCGGAUUUCAUCUCAUUAGAAGUAUAU
rnacentral:misc_RNA from 1 species